UUCGCAAUGCCCGAAAGGGUGACGAAGCGACGCCGCGUGUGGGAAGAAGGCCUUCGGGUUGUAAACCACUGUCGGGAGUUAGGAAGUGCAGGAGCGUUAAUAGCGUUUUUGCUUGACUAAGGCUCCAGAGGAAGCCACGGCUAACUCUGUGCCAGCAGCCGCGGUAAUACAGAGGCGGCAAGCGUUGUUCGGAAUUAUUGGGCGUAAAGAGCACGUAGGCGGCCUUGCAAGUCAGUUGUGAAAGCCUUCCGCUCAACGGAAGAAUGCCAGCUGAUACUACAGGGCUUGAGUACGGGAGGGGAGAGUGGAACUUCUGGUGGAGCGGUGAAAUGCGUAGAUAUCAGAAGGAACGCCGGCGGUGAAAGCGACUCUCUGGCCCGAAACUGACGCUGAGUAUGCGAAAGCUAGGGGAGCAAACGGGAUUAGAUACCCCGGUAGUCCUAGCCGUAAACGAUGGGCACUAAGUAGAGGGGUUUU
rnacentral:rRNA from 1 species